rnacentral:ncRNA from 1 species
GAUCCCCACCAAUGGUACUGCGACACGGACCAUACACCUACGGGUGGCAGCAGCCGAGAAUAUUCGACAAUGGGCGAAAGCCUGAUCGAGCGACGCCGCGUGCAGGAUGAAGUUCUUCGGGACGUAAACUGCUUUUGUAGGGGAAGAAUUCCGGUAAUACCGGAAUGACUGUACUCUACGAAUAAGGACCUGCAAAUCUCGUGCCAGCAGCCGCGGUAAUACGAGAGGUCCAAGCGUUGUCCGGAUUAACUGGGCGUAAAGGGUGUGUAGGAGGUCGUGUUAGUCCUGCUUUAAAUCUCUGGGCCCAACCCAGAGGCCGGGCGGGAUACGGCACGGCUGGAGGGUGCGAGAGGCGAGUGGAACUCACGGUGUAGGGGUGAAAUCCGUUGAUAUCGUGGGGAACACCAAAAGCGAAGGCAACUCGCUGGCGCAUACCUGACUCUGAAACACGAAAGCGUGGGCAUAAAAAAGGAUUAGAUACCCUUGUAUUCCACGCCCUAAACGAUGAUGACUAGCUAUCGGAAGUAUCGACCCUUUCGGUGGCGAAGCUAACGCGUUAAGUCAUCCGCCUGGGAAGUACGGCCGCAAGGCUAAAACUCAAAGGAAUAGACGGGGAUUCGCACAAGCGGUGGAGCAUGUGGUUUAAUUCGAUGGUAAACGAAGAACCUCACCAGGGCUUGAAACCACGACGACGGUCUGGAGAAACCUAGACUUUCUCACAAGGACGGCGUGGCAGGUGCUGCAUGGUUGUCGUCAGUUCGUGUUGUGAAAUGUUCCCUUCAGUGGGGCAACGGACGCAACCCCUAUUGCCUGUUACAUGUGUCAGGCGAGACUGCCCAGCUCAGCUGGGAGGAAGGAGGGGAUGACGCCAAAUCAGCAUGGCCCUUUGAUGCCCUGGGCUACACACGUGCUACAAUGGAACGUACAAUGGGUCGCGAAGCCGCGAGGUGGAGCAAAUCCCUAAAAACGUUCCUCAGUUCGGAUUGGAGUCUGCAACUCGACUCCAUGAAGUUGGAAUCGCUAGUAAUCGCAGGUCAGCUAUACUGCGGUGAAUACG